rnacentral:rRNA from 1 species
UACAGAGGGUGCGAGCGUUGUCCGGAAUCACUGGGCGUAAAGGGCGCGUAGGCGGCCUGAUAAGUAGGGGGUGAAAUCCUGUGGCUCAACUGCAGGGCUGCCUCCUAGACUGUCGGGCUUGAGCACGGUAGAGGCAGAUGGAAUUCCCGGUGUAGCGGUGGAAUGCGUAGAGAUCGGGAAGAACAUCGGUGGCGAAGGCGGUCUGCUGGGCCGACACUGACGCUGAGGCGCGAAAGCCAGGGGAGCAAACGGG